UUCCCUUUCCCCCCAUUUUCUUCUUCUUCUUCUUUUAUUUUUCCCUUCCCUCUCCCGUCGCCUCCCAGCUCCCGCUGCCAUCGUCUUUCCUUCCCCUCCCUCGCUGCCACGCCGUUCUCCUCCUUCUUCCUUCCCCCUUACUGUCGACGCCAAGCGAGGAAGAGAAGGAGAUGCUGCCGCCAAGCUACCUCCUGUCGCCUUCCUAUCGCCUAUUCAACGCCGAAAUCAAGCUCCUUACCGUUGAAAACCCAUAAGCUAAGCUUUUCCUGUCGUUUUCCGUCAUCGGCAGCCUCGGUGGAGCCUCAUUGGAGCAGCACCUUUCCGGCCACGAUCCAGUGCCUUCCAGCGACUUUCCAGCCAAAGAUUUUGCAUUUUCGAACUCCCCGCAACUCAAGCUUCGCAUAGCAGCUUCCAGAUUCAAAUUUCGACACCAUUGGCAGUACUAGUUUUUCAGACCCAGUAUUUUUCGGAUACGCAGAAUUUUAGAUUUUUGGCUCGAUAAUCUGUUCAUCCAGCCAGCUCCACCCGAGGCAUAGGAGGAGACUGCAGAGUGCCGCAGAACUGUGACAGUUAGAUUCUUCGCCAUCUUGCGUUUGACAGUCUGCCUUCCUUCUCCAUCGGGCCUAUUGUAAAUAAUUUAUACUUUUAUAUUUUUAGACUCUCCGCAGUAGUAUACCUGAUAUAUUAUGUUUGUUAUGGUCUGUAAAAAAUUAUGGAAUGUUGUUAAUGUCUAGAUAGAGACUUGUGAAUGGCAUGUUGGACUGGUUUAAUAGUAUGUUUAUAUAUAUAUAUUUGAAAUUUCUAUUAGUUA